AUUGAACGCUGGCGGCAGGCUUAACACAUGCAAGUCGAGCGGAGAUGAGGUGCUUGCACCUUAUCUUAGCGGCGGACGGGUGAGUAAUGCUUAGGAAUCUGCCUAUUAGUGGGGGACAACAUUCCGAAAGGAAUGCUAAUACCGCAUACGUCCUACGUGAGAAAGCAGGGGAUCUUCGGACCUUGCGCUAAUAGAUGAGCCUAAGUCGGAUUAGCUAGUUGAUGGGGUAAAGGCCUACCAAGGCUACGAUGUGUAGCGGGUCUGAGAGGAUGAUCCGCCACACUGGGACUGAGACACGGCCCAGACUCCUACGGGAGGCAGAAGUGGGGAAUAUUGGACAAUGGGGGGAACCCUGAUCCAGCCAUGCCGCGUGUGUGAAGAAGGCCUUAUGGUUGUAAAGCACUUUAAGCGAGGAGGAGGCUACUGAGACUAAUACUCUUGGAUAGUGGACGUUACUCGCAGAAUAAGCACCGGCUAACUCUGUGCCAGCAGCCGCAGUAACAC
rnacentral:rRNA from 1 species